rnacentral:rRNA from 1 species
AUUGAACGCUGGCGGCAGGCUUAACACAUGCAAGUCGAGCGGGGGAAGGUAGCUUGCUACCGGACCUAGCGGCGGACGGGUGAGUAAUGCUUAGGAAUCUGCCUAUCAGUGGGGGACAACAUCUCGAAAGGGAUGCUAAUACCGCAUACGUCCUACGGGAGAAAGCAGGUGAUCUUCGGACCUUGCGCUCAUAGAUGAGCCUAAGUCGGAUUAGCUAGUUGGUGGGGUAAAGGACUACCAAGGCGACGAUCUGUAGCGGGUCUGAGAGGAUUAUCCGCCACAAGGGGACUGAGACACGGCCCAGACUCCUACGGGAGGCAGCAGUGGGGAAUAUUGGACAAUGGGGGGAACCCUGAUCCAGCCAUGCCGCGUGUGUGAAGAAGGCCUUAUGGUUGUAAAGCACUUUAAGCGAGGAGGAGGCUACUCUAGUUAAUACCUAGGGAUAGUGGACGUUACUCGCAGAAUAAGCACCGGCUAACUCUGUGCCAGCCGCCGCCGUAA